rnacentral:rRNA from 1 species
AUUGAACGCUGGCGGCAUGCUUUACACAUGCAAGUCGAACGGUAACAGGUUAAGCUGACGAGUGGCGAACGGGUGAGUAAUGCAUCGGAACGUGCCCGAUCGUGGGGGAUAACGCAGCGAAAGCUGCGCUAAUACCGCAUACGAUCUGAGGAUGAAAGCGGGGGACCGUAAGGCCUCGCGCGAUCGGAGCGGCCGAUGUCAGAUUAGGUAGUUGGUGGGGUAAAGGCUCACCAAGCCAACGAUCUGUAGCUGGUCUGAGAGGACGACCAGCCACACUGGGACUGAGACACGGCCCAGACUCCUACGGGAGGCAGCAGUGGGGAAUUUUGGACAAUGGGCGAAAGCCUGAUCCAGCAAUGCCGCGUGCAGGAAGAAGGCCUUCGGGUUGUAAACUGCUUUUGUACGGAGCGAAAAGGCCCUCUCUAAUACAGGGGGCUCAUGACGGUACCGUAAGAAUAAGCACCGGCUAACUUCGUGCCAGCCGCCGCCGUAACAC